GAUAUGGCUCAGGAUGAACGCUAGCUACAGGCUUAACACAUGCAAGUCGAGGGGCAGCGGGAUUGAAGCUUGCUUCAAUUGCCGGCGACCGGCGCACGGGUGAGUAACGCGUAUCCAACCUUCCGUACACUCAGGGAUAGCCUUUCGAAAGAAAGAUUAAUACCUGAUGGUAUGAUGAGAUUGCAUGAUAGCAUCAUUAAAGAUUUAUCGGUGUACGAUGGGG
rnacentral:rRNA from 1 species